rnacentral:rRNA from 1 species
UGGGGAAUAUUGCACAAUGGGCGCAAGCCUGAUGCAGCCAUGCCGCGUGUAUGAAGAAGGCCUUCGGGUUGUAAAGUACUUUCAGCGGGGAGGAAGGUGUUGUGGUUAAUAACCACAGCAAUUGACGUUACCCGCAGAAGAAGCACCGGCUAACUCCGUGCCAGCAGCCGCGGUAAUACGGAGGGGGCAAGCGUUAAUCGGAAUUACUGGGCGUAAAGCGCACGCAGGCGGUCUGUCAAGUCGGAUGUGAAAUCCCCGGGCUCAACCUGGGAACUGCAUCCGAAACUGGCAGGCUUGAGUCUUGUAGAGGGGGGUAGAAUUCCAGGUGUAGCGGUGAAAUGCGUAGAGAUCUGGAGGAAUACCGGUGGCGAAGGCGGCCCCCUGGACAAAGACUGACGCUCAGGUGCGAAAGCGUGGGGAGCAAACA